CCAACACUCUUGCAUGCUUUGGAGGAUGAUGAAACCUCUGAUACUACCCUUGACGGCCUCAAACAAAUCUUAAAUGUCAGGACUGCUGCUGUUUUGCCUCAUAUCUUGCCCAAGCUGGUCCAUCCUCCUCUUUCGGCCUUCAAUGCACAUGCUUUGGGAGCUCUAGCUGAGGUUGCAGGUCCUGGUUUGGACUUCCAGCUCAGUACUGUUGUUCCAGCUUUACUCACUGCAAUGGAUGAUGAUAACAUGGAUGA